AAGUAGGGGAUCGUAAGACCUUGCGCUUUUGGAGCGGCCGAUGCCUGAUUAGCUAGUUGGUGGGGUAAGGGCCUACCAAGGCGACGAUCAGUAGUUGGUCUGAGAGGACGACCAGCCACACUGGGACUGAGACACGGCCCAGACUCCUACGGGAGGCAGCAGUGGGGAAUUUUGGACAAUGGGCGGAAGCCUGAUCCAGCAAUGCCGCGUGAGUGAAGAAGGCCUUCGGGUUGUAAAGCUCUUUCAGUCGAGAAGAAAAGGUUGCGACUAAUAAUCGCAACUUAUGACGGUAUCGACAGAAGAAGCACCGGCUAACUACGUGCCAGCAGCCGCGGUAAUACGUAGGGUGCGAGCGUUAAUCGGAAUUACUGGGCGUAAAGGGUGCGCAGGCGGCUCUGUAAGUCAGAUGUGAAAUCCCCGGGCUUAACCUGGGAAUUGCGUUUGAAACUACAAAGCUAGAGU
rnacentral:rRNA from 1 species